rnacentral:rRNA from 1 species
GAUAAACGCUGGCGGCGCACAUAAGACAUGCAAGUUGAACGGACUUAAUCGAAAUAUUUAUAUUUUGAAGCGGUUAGUGGCGGACUGGUGAGUAACGCGUAAGGAACCUGCCUAUUAGAGGGGAAUAACAGCGAGAAAUCAUUGCUAAUACCGCAUAUGCCAUAGAUAUCACAUGAUAACAGUGGGAAAGGAGCAAUCCGCUAAUAGAUGGCCUUGCGUCUGAUUAGAUAGUUGGUGGGGUAACGGCCUACCAAGUCGACGAUCAGUAGCCGGACUGAGAGGUUGAACGGCCACAUUGGGACUGAGAUACGGCCCAGACUCCUACGGGAGGCAGCAGUCGGGAAUAUUGCGCAAUGGAGGAAACUCUGACGCAGUGACGCCGCGUAUAGGAAGAAGGUUUUCGGAUUGUAAACUAUUGUCGUUAGGGAAGAGAAAGGACAGUACCUAAGGAGGAAGCUCCGGCUAACUACGUG